rnacentral:rRNA from 1 species
UACAGAGGUCUCAAGCGUUGUUCGGAUUCAUUGGGCGUAAAGGGCGCGUAGGCGGCGGGGUAAGUCGGGUGUGAAAUCUCAGAGCUCAACUCUGAAACUGCACUCGAUACUGCUCUGCUUGAGGACUGGAGAGGAGACUGGAAUUCACGGUGUAGCAGUGAAAUGCGUAGAUAUCGUGAGGAAGACCAGUGGCGAAGGCGGGUCUCUGGACAGUUCCUGACGCUGAGGCGCGAAGGCCAGGGGAG